UAAUACGUAGGGACCGAGCGUUGUCCGGAUUUAUUGGGCGUAAAGAGCUCGUAGGCGGCUUGUUGCGUCGGCUGUGAAAACCCGGGGCUCAACCCCGGGCCUGCAGUCGAUACGGGCAGGCUAGAGUCCGGUAGGGGAGACUGGAAUUCCUGGUGUAGCGGUGAAAUGCGCAGAUAUCAGGAGGAACACCGGAGGCGAAGGCGGGUCUCUGGGCCGGAACUGACGCUAAGGAGCGAAAGCGUGGGGAGCGAACAGGA
rnacentral:rRNA from 1 species